GUAACAUCUUUCUUUUGUUCAGCAGAUUAUAUAUUGCAACAGUCAAUAAGUGUCCUCUAAUUUCAGAUUAUGUACUUCAGAAUAAUACUCUGAGAGAUCAUCUUUUUAAUCAGUUAUUGAUUUCAGUUUGGGAGAACAGUCGCCUAGAUUACAUUCAGUAUUGCUUCAUAUGGGGAUUCCACACUGAGCUAACCAGCAUGAUUCUCCAGCACUCUCCCUGCUUGCAGUUCUCCAAGGGCCACUUUCCACUUCAGAAGUGUAGAUUCCAUUGACAAUACCUGAUGCGUUGCCCACGACUAGAGAAGAAAGAGCAACGUUACCCACUCGGCAAACCAGCAGGCUGGUUCGACCCCCCAGAAAAUGUCUGAACAGCUCAAAGUGAAUACCGAUGGAUUCCCAUAAGGAGAUCUUGACCGUAUUGUCUUGUACUGUCAAGUCAACUCCGACCCAUAGCGACUCCAUGGGCAUAUCUCGCCCAGAACACCCCACCUCCAUCUGCAGUUGUUCUGGUAGUGUAUUCAUAGAGUUUAGGAGAGGAGAAACAAGGAUUAGCAGGAAAGACUGAAGAACAUGAAAGCCAUCUCUCUGAGGAAGAAAAAUAUAUGGAUCACAGUGGGAGAAAAGCCUCUCCCUGAGACCCAUGACCGUGAGGCCCACAGCCAUUUUGCAGGGUCGAACUUUAAGGUUUGUUAGUAUUAUGCUGCCUCUCUGGGGCAAAGACAUGCGCACGCUCAGAAGACUUCUUGCUCACGAUACCGU
rnacentral:lncRNA from 1 species